rnacentral:rRNA from 1 species
CCGCAAGGUUAAAACUCAAAUGAAUUGACGGGGGCCCGCACAAGCGGUGGAGCAUGUGGUUUAAUUCGAUGCAACGCGAAGAACCUUACCUGGUCUUGACAUCCACGGAAGUUUUCAGAGAUGAGAAUGUGCCUUCGGGAACCGUGAGACAGGUGCUGCAUGGCUGUCGUCAGCUCGUGUUGUGAAAUGUUGGGUUAAGUCCCGCAACGAGCGCAACCCUUAUCCUUUGUUGCCAGCGGUCCGGCCGGGAACUCAAAGGAGACUGCCAGUGAUAAACUGGAGGAAGGUGGGGAUGACGUCAAGUCAUCAUGGCCCUUACGACCAGGGCUACACACGUGCUACAAUGGCGCAUACAAAGAGAAGCGACCUCGCGAGAGCAAGCGGACCUCAUAAAGUGCGUCGUAGUCCGGAUUGGAGUCUGCAACUCGACUCCAUGAAGUCGGAAUCGCUAGUAAUCGUGGAUCAGAAUGCCACGGUGAAUACGUUCCCGGGCCUUGUACACACCGCCCGUCACACCAUGGGAGUGGGUUGCAAAAGAAGUAGGUAGCUUAACCUUCGGGAGGGCGCUUACCACUUUGUGAUUCAUGACUGGGGUGAAGUCGUAACAAGGUAACCGUAGGGGAACCUGCGGUUGGAU